rnacentral:rRNA from 1 species
UAGGGAAUAUUGGACAAUGGGUGCAAGCCUGAUCCAGCCAUGCCGCGUGCAGGAAGAAGGCCUUAUGGGUUGUAAACUGCUUUUGCCAGGGGAUAAAAUACGGAUGCGUCCGGAAUUGAAGGUACCUGGUGAAUAAGCCACGGCUAACUACGUGCCAGCAGCCGCGGUAAUACGUAGGUGGCAAGCGUUGUCCGGAUUUAUUGGGUUUAAAGGGUGCGUAGGCGGUUCCUUAAGUCAGUGGUGAAAUACUUCAGCUCAACUGGAGAGGUGCCAUUGAUACUGGGGAACUUGAGUACUGAUGAGGUAGGCGGAAUGGACGGUGUAGCGGUGAAAUGCUUAGAUAUCGUCCAGAACACCGAUAGCGAAGGCAGCUUACUAAAGAGUAACUGACGCUGAGGCACGAAAGUGUGGGGAUCAAACAG